GUCCAGGGGCGGGAAUCGAACCCACAACCUUCUGCUUACCGAGCAGGUGGUUGUGGGUUCGAUUCCCGCCCCUGGACA